CUCAGUAACGGCGAGUGAAGCGGCAAGAGCUCAAAUUUGAAAUCUGGCCCCCUCGGGGUCCGAGUUGUAAUUUGCAGAGGAUGCUUCGGGUGCGGUCCCCGUCUAAGUGCCCUGGAACGGGCCGUCAUAGAGGGUGAGAAUCCCGUCUGGGAUGGGCGGCCGCGCCCGUGUGAAGCUCCUUCGACGAGUCGAGUUGUUUGGGAAUGCAGCUCUAAGCGGGUGGUAAAUUUCAUCUAAAGCUAAAUACUGGCCGGAGACCGAUAGCGCACAAGUAGAGUGAUCGAAAGAUGAAAAGCACUUUGAAAAGAGAGUCAAACAGCACGUGAAAUUGUUGAAAGGGAAGCGUUGUCCACCAGACUCGCCCGGGGGGGCUCAGCCGGCACGUGUGCCGGUGUACUCCCCUCCGGGCGGGCCAGCAUCGGUUUGGGCGGCUGGUGAAAGGCCCCGGGAAUGUACCACCCUUCGGGGUGCCUUAUAGCCCGGGGUGCCAUGCGGCCAGCCUGGACCGAGGCCCGCGCUUCGGCGAGGAUGCUGGCGUAAUGGUGGUCAACGGCCCGUCUUGAAACACGGACCAAGGAGUCUAACAUCUAUGCGAGUGUUCGGGUGUCAAACCCGUCCGCGCAGUGAAAGCGAACGGAGGUGGGAGCCCCCCGGGGCGCACCAUCGACCGAUCCUGAUGUCUUCGGAUGGAUUUGAGUAAGAGCAUAGCUGUUGGGACCCGAAAGAUGGUGAACUAUGCCUGAAUAGGGCGAAGCCAGAGGAAACUCUGGUGGAGGCUCGCAGCGGUUCUGACGUGCAAAUCGAUCGUC
rnacentral:rRNA from 1 species